UAAUACGGAGGGUGCGAGCGUUGUCCGGAAUCACUGGGCGUAAAGGGCGCGUAGGCGGUUCGGCGCGCGUGCGGUGAAAGCUCGGGGCUUAACCCCGAGUCUGCCGUGCGGACGGCCGAGCUAGGGCACUGUAGAGGCAGGUAGAAUUCCGGGUGUAGCGGUGGAAUGCGUAGAGAUCCGGAAGAAUACCGGUGGCGAAGGCGGCCUGCUGGGCAGUAGCCGACGCUGAGGCGCGACAGCGUGGGGAGCAAACAGGAUUAGAUACCCUGGUAGUCCACGCCGUAAACGAUGGGCACUAGGUGCUUGGGGGAGCGACCCUCUGAGUGCCGUCGCUAACGCAGUAAGUGCCCCGCCUGGGGAGUACGACCGCAAGGUUG
rnacentral:rRNA from 1 species